AUUGAACGCUGGCGGCAUGCCUUACACAUGCAAGUCGAACGGUAACGCGGGGCAACCUGGCGACGAGUGGCGAACGGGUGAGUAAUGCAUCGGAACGUGCCCAGUAGUGGGGGAUAGCCCGGCGAAAGCCGGAUUAAUACCGCAUACGACCUAUGGGUGAAAGCGGGGGACCGUAAGGCCUCGCGCUAUUGGAGCGGCCGAUGUCAGAUUAGGUAGUUGGUGGGGUAAAGGCUCACCAAGCCGACGAUCUGUAGCUGGUCUGAGAGGACGACCAGCCACACUGGGACUGAGACACGGCCCAGACACCUACGGGUGGCUG
rnacentral:rRNA from 1 species